rnacentral:snoRNA from 1 species
CAGGAGACAGUUAUCCCUUUCUGGCCUGGCUCAGCGGACUUGAGAUGGGGGGGGGGCGUCUAUCUUCAGCUGUAAGUGGUGAGUUCUAUUCAGCAUCAGUGUUUGGAUAGGGGUUUUAGACUCGCCAGAGAUCA